AGAGUUUGAUCCUGGCUCAGGAUGAACGCUGCCGGCAUGCUUAACACAUGCAAGUCGAAUGGGAAGUGGUGUUUCCAGUGGCGAACGGGUGAGUAACGCGUAAGAACCUGCCCUUGGGAGGGGAACAACAACUGGAAACGGUUGCUAAUACCCCGUAGGCUGAGGAGCAAAAGGAGAAAUCUGCCCAAGGAGGGGCUCGCGUCUGAUUAGCUAGUUGGUGAGGUAAUAGCUUACAAAGGUGAUGAUCAGUAGCUGGUCCGAGAGGAUGAUCAGCCACACUGGGACUGAGACAUGGCCCAGACUCCUACGGGAGGCAGCAGUGGGGAAUUUUCCGCAAUGGGUGAAAGCCUGACGGAGCAAUGCCGCGUGGAGGUGGAAGGCCUAUGGGUCAUCAACUUCUUUUCUCGGAGAAGAAACAAUGACGGUAUAUGAGGAAAAAGCAUCGGCUAACUCUGUG
rnacentral:rRNA from 1 species